CAGUAGCCGCGGUAAGACAGAGGAUGCAAGCGUUAUCCGGAAUGAUUGGGCGUAAAGCGUCUGUAGGUGGCUUUUCAAGUCCGCCGUCAAAUCCCAGGGCUCAACCCUGGACAGGCGGUGGAAACUACCAAGCUGGAGUACGGUAGGGGCAGAGGGAAUUUCCAGUGGAGCGGUGAAAUGCGUUGAGAUCGAAAAGAACACCAACAGCGAAAGCACUCUGCUGGGACGACACUGACACUAAGAGACGAAAGCUAGGGGAGCAAAUGGGAUUAGAUACCCCGGUAGUCCCUGUCUCUUAUAA
rnacentral:rRNA from 1 species